AUAUAUAUUAUGUGGAUGUGUCGUUUCUUUUUUUUUGUUUGCUAUCCUGAUUACUCUCCUCUUUUUUCGUCUUCUACUUUCAAUUGCAGAGUUCGUGAUGAAAGAUCAUUUUGUAGUGAAAAAUAACGAGAAGGCCUAUAUCGGAUUCAUUGUUGGUGGACAAUAACGGUAACAAAAUGUCCUUUAAUUGUAAUUAAAAAAAACUUCAAAUUAAGAUUUUAACUAAAUAUCUUUGACUAAGAGAUGUGUGUAAUGGAUGAGAAAAAGAGUUAAAAGCGACAAAACAAAAAAAAAAACUUAUGGAAGUGGUCCAUGUUCUUUUUUCCAACAAUUGCUUAAGUUGUAGCAUACUUUUUGUUGUUUUGUUAAUGGGUCAUAUCUCUUUUCCGGUGUUAAUUAAUGGGUAAACAUUAGAAUUGAUAUUUUGUAGACUUGAAUGGAGAAAAAAGUGUGAAAUCGAGGGGAAGUCCAGAGCACCAAUACAAACACCAUAUGUGCAUCCAAAUUUAAUUCCAUGGAAUGGUACAUUCAUGGAAUGGUGCAUUCAUAUUAUUUUAUUGACAUUUUGAUAUUAUGUUAAGAAUAAGAUAUUUGUGUAAGCCACGAUAUUUUAAUACUGUGUUCGCAGGAUUUAUGAAGACACAUUUUAAUUCAACAUGUAAGAAACUUCACUUUGACAUCAUCCUGAAGCUAAGAUUAUUUAUUUCAUCAUGAAGAAAUAUAUGAAAUCACUCAAACCUUCUAAUAGAAAUAAUGUUCUAAUUUGACCAGUUUUUGCAGUCAAAAGCAUUUAAAAGUCAACAAAUUGUUCAAUUUGUUUUCCUUUCCAUGUUCAUGUUAAGGUAUUGGUUUUCCUAUUAAAAAAUGUCACAACCCAAUUUAGGAUUGCACGAGCACCUACCUUCCCCUCCUUGAUAGGCGAACCCUCAAUUAAUAACACAGUAAUCAAGUAAAGACAAUAGUGUUGAGAUAGCUAGAUAUUUAUGUACGCAGAUGUAUACACAACAGCUAGAACUCAAUCUAGCAGCUAGAACUUAGUCUAGUAGUAAGUUAUCAGUCUAGUAGUUAGUUAGUCUAGUCAGAUAAUUAGUUAGUUAGUGAACACAGAUGUGAGUUGGUUAGUUAGGAUAUUUUGAUCAAGUUAGACAGCUGUAUACAUCUAUCAUUUUCCUAUCUUCAUACUUGUAUAUAUUGAACAACACACAUAGAAAUGAAUUCAGUUGAUUUCGCAUACUUUCUCUCAUUUGCUCUUGCUCCUUCUCAGUUGCACUUAGCUCAAUAGCUUGAGCUGUUCAACAACGACAGAUUUAACUACUUGAAUUCAAUUGCUCUAAACUUCAAAUGGUAUGCGUAUAUCGCGAUCCUAAUCUCAAUUUUGAUCACUGGUUUGAUUCCAUCACUUUUCUGAGAUUUCUGUUGUUUUGUUGUUUUUCUUCGAAAAACUGCAAAUUCAUGAUCGUAACGGAUUGUUGUCCUCAAAUUGCGGUUGACACCCAAUUUUGUCCCGUCUUCCCCAAAAUACUUAUUUUAUGCUUCUAAUAUUUUUGGCAACUUAAGAAAUAAUUAUUUAUAUUUCACUAUAAUUAUUAGCUUUUUACCGGCGUUUCAUUAUUCCAUUGCAGUCACUAGCUGUCAUUAUUUUUAUUACCACUACCACUAUUAUCCUUAUCCAGGUAUUAUUAUUAUUACCAGUAUUAUUAUAAUUCGCAUUAUAAUCAUUUCAGCAUUUUUACCAUCCUAUGCACACGCAUCACAUUUAUUUUCGUGCAAUUAAAUAAUAGCGUUUAUUUACUGUUGAACUUUUAAAAUAUUAUCGCACGGUUAUUGCGACGUCUUAUAAUUUUAUCUGAGCACUAAUAAUUACAUAUUUUAUAUUAGGUGAUAUUUUAGCACACAUUAGUGUAUAGUUAUUUAAAAUGGGUCUUUUAUUUAAAUUUAAAAACCCAAAUCGUUCUUUCAUUCAGCCAAUAUUAGCCCAAACCCGAGUCCAAUCAAUCCACAUUAUUUUUUCGGACCAGCCCAUUGUCAUCUAAAAUAAUACCCAGCCCAAAAAUUACCAGCCCAUUCCAUCAACCCACUACCCGCCAACCCGAUCGGCCCACGUUUUAAUUCACCCAUCCAGCCCAUUAUCCACCGUCCGACCCGGCUCACACCACAUUAUUCAUCUUCUAAACCUAAUGAACCCAUCUUCAGCCGCCCUACCCCCAUCUCCUCUCUCUCCUCUCUCUCUCUCCUUCCUCUCUCUCCUCUAUUUUUAGCUAAACUCCCUUUUUCUUUAGCCAUGGACAGAACUUUCGUGCCAUUUUAGUGCAAGUCUUCAUCUCUUUCUUCUGCAAGCAUGAGCGCCUCUCCUUAUUUCCUAUCCCUUUCCUCUUAAAACAAUAGUUUCAACGUCCCUCAACCAUGGCAGCCUUAAUCUUUCCGUUUGAAGCAAAAGGAUCUAUCCCUUGUACCCGAGACUGAUGCAUUUCAUAAGCCAUGUGAAGAUUUUUCCAUUUCACACUUAAAAACGCUUGAGCUCCCUUCAAAUCUGAAACGAAAUCUCACCAUUUUGGUGAGGGAUCCGAAGCGUAUCUCAGAAAUUUUGUACAUUUUUUUUAAAAUGGGUGUCUUGACUCGAUUUUGAAUAACAAAUAUCUUAAAUCUCGCCCCAAUUUCUUCUUUUAGAACCCGAGGCAAAACCCUAAUCCUAUCCUAUAAAUUCAAAGGCAUGAGUCUAUUAAGGGAGGUUUUUUUUUAGCAGCCCGAAUCCCCUAAAAAUAUUAAUCCUUAAUCACUGCUUCUUGAUAUUAAUCGGAAAUACCAAACCAUUUUUUAUUCCCUUUUUGCCCUUGUUGCUGUUUCGAAUCCGAGUGCAUGCAAACUCGGAAGUUGUAGUGUGUCGAGGGUAUAUCCGAGAUUCAAGCCUAGUUCGCUGCACUUGGAAAAGGCGAACCCCUCCCCUUUAAUUACCUUUUUUUCUGAAAUUGUUUAGUUGUGAGUUGUUUAUGUGUUUUAUUAUAUGUCGUUUCUGCUUUUUAUAUUUUGAUUAGCAUAGUAUUCUUUAGCUUAGGUUGAUUAUGCUAGCUUAGUUCUUCCCUAUAUAUGCAAUCUUGGGUUAACAAUGUGUUUAGGUACAUGUUAUCAAUGGCUAAUUUGAUCAGUUAUAGGUUCAGUUUGGUUAGAGAUUUGCUAAUCGUGUUUGUAUGCCUAAAUCUUGUAUGAUCAGUUAGCCUAUUGUCUGUUUUAAGGCAAAUAUGAGUCAUUUACUUAUAAUGUGUUGAGUCAACUGGUCCAGUCAAGCAUGUUCAUGCAUUAAUUCGGUUUUUGUUAAAUCUGAAGCUGUUUUGCAUAAAGUGUAGACAGUGGAGUUGAAAAUGUUGGCCUGGUCGAGACACUGUUAUUCCUAACUGUUGCUGCCCUGAGUCCAGUUUCUUUGUUUUCUUUGUCAUCUGGGGCAUGUCAUUUAAUCUGUAUCGUGUAGAAGUAGUCCUUGGUUUGAUUAAAUGGGAUAGUCUGAUAAGUAUGCUUUAGGUUUGGAUCCUGAGAUUGCUGACGCGAGAACCGAAUGUCUGUGCAUAAAAUUGAGUUAAAUAUGCUAUCUCAAGCUGGUUAGCUAUGUCGAAUAUUUUAUAGGUCUUUGAACCUGUUAAAUGCUUCUGUCUGUGGAAUAGGGAUUCAUAUGCAAUGACACUGCUUUAUUUGAAGUCUAUGUUGAGUCUACAAUAGUUCUGGUAUUCUUGAUAGGCCUUGUUAUUUGUUCCCUCGAAUAAGUCACAUGAGAGUAGCCAUUCGUCUCUACUUGUUGUCCGAAUCUAUGUCAAACUGAAUGCUAGACUUACCUCUCUGAUCUAAAAUGUACACUGCACAGGAUCGUAAGUCUUUGGUUUGACAGCAUGGCUGGUAUAUUUAAAGCAUGCUUACACUAGUUUAAAGCUGAAUCUAGAUCCAUUGCAUUACUCUUUAAUGGCUCUGUUCCGAAAUCGUGAAAAUCUAUCCUAUCUGUUUUGGUUGUUGGUUAGUCGUAUGAGUCUCAGAAUGUUGUUUUUUGUUUUGCACUAGUGAGCAUACUGAUGAGGCCUGCUUGCAUACUCUGCCCAUUUGGGUUUAUGUCCAUGUUUCAAAAUAACUCCGCAGCAUUUGCUUAAUUGGGUCUACGUGUACUACUUAUAUCUUGAGAUUUAUUGGGCAUCUACUGCUCCUUUGCUGAACCUGUUAUGACUUUAUUUUUUAACCAAGAUGUGAAAUAUGCAUAAGUCUGAUUUCGUGUGUGGAUAUGCUUGUGUACAGACUAUUCCCAGUCUCAUAUACACUUCAGGGUGUAUGAGUUGGGUUGCUUUAUGUAUACACGGCAUAUCACUCUCUAUUUGAUUGUGAUAAUCUACUGUUAUUAAAUUUUGGGCCUUCCUUUCCUCUUACCGUGUUGGGCCUCUAUAUGUAUAAUAGACUUAUUCGAAAUCCGGCCCAGUUUUCCUAUUCUCGUGAAGUCACUCGUUUGGGCCGCGAAUUGUUUGUCUUAAGCCGAAUUAAAUUCAAUUUUCUUAUUGUUAUGUGAUGGACUCUCUUUGAGUUAUGAAUUUUGCAUUAUUAAUUAUCUAGACCCACACUAAUCCUUUUCUUUUGUUUUUAUGCAUGACCAUCGCAUACGAGUCCGAGGGACUCGUUCUUCUUCCGCAUUCGGUGUUGGGCUAAAAGCCCAACGAAAUCUUCUCGGGUCCUCCCCAUCAGUUCUGUCCGCAACAAAGAAAAUAGAAAACAAAAAUUCUGGGCCAAAGCCCAAUAGACAGGAACAGCCGCAGCAGUCUAUAUAAAGAAAUUACUGGGCUAAAAGCCCAAUAGCAGCAGAUCAGCAGUCCUAAAAUGGGCUGAGCCCAUUUAAUAUCAUUUGCUCCUUUAUUUCAUUUUAUGCAUUUGAUUUGUAUUUGUGCAACUAAUACUUUACUUUGUUUAUUUCCUUAGCUAGAAUGAACCUUAGCAAAAUUAGUGGGGUUUAGUUUUAGUAAUGGGCUCAAGUAUUUUAUAAAUAACUCUUCAAGUUUGAAUCAAUCACGCAUAUUUUUAAUUAAGUAUAGUUAAUAAAAAAUAACAAAAGGAUAAAGAAAAUUCACAUUAGCUAUUUUUGUAUUUUGUUUAUACUCCUAAAUCGCAAAAAUCAAUUAAUACCUCGCCACUCGAGAUAUCUCAAAUAUUUAUUAAAACGCUGUACAAACCCACAUUUUCUUCUACUAUAUGCAAAUUAUUAUAUUUUAUGCAAAUCUUAUUUUAAAUACCAUUAUUAUUUAAAGCCUUAGCAACAUUUAUAAAUUUUAUUUUAAAUGGCAUUUGAAGUCUCCUUUUAUGCAAAAUUAUUAUAUUUUCUACAAGUCUUAUUUUAAAUAGCCUUUUUUUAAGCCUUAGCAAUAUUUAUAAGUCUAUUUUUAAAUAGCAUUAUUAUAUUUUCCUUUAAAAUCUUAGCAACACUUACAAGCCAAUUUCUUAAAAUUUAAAUGCUACAUUUGCAUCUUUAACUUUAAUUAAUUAACCUAAGUUUGGACGGUAACCGUGAUUAACGGAUUCUAAAGGAUGCCUAACCCCUUCCCUUUAGGAUAAUCUAGAACUCUUACCUAGAAUCAUAAAUUAAGUAGACCAUUAACGGCGGUUUAGUUAGCCUUUACCUUAGUUAAUAAAUUAGGUGUCCUAAUUCACCGUUAAACUAAUUAGGUGGCGACUCCUUAAAAUAAAUAAAAAAUAGGAAUCACCAAUAUGUUGUACUCUAAUUUAACCCGUUUAAGUGGGGUAUAACAAUUGCUACAUAGUUCAUACGUUGUUAGUUCAUUUAUGCAAUUACACACUUUAUGUUUUCAAUUCAAUUCUGCAAAUUCGAGCUUCAAUUCGCAAUUUAGUGAUUUUCAACCCUAGUUUAAUUCUUCAGUUUACUGUGAGUUUUCAAUUCAACUCAAUUCUUCAGCUUGAGGUUCAUAUUAUCUAGAUUUUAGCAUCACUAAUUGUGACUUGAUCUAAUCUCUUCAAUAUCAUUCGAACUCCAAUACAUCAUGGCUAUAGAACAGACUGAGGAAACAAGCCAAACGAACUAAGCAAGUAGAGAAACCAUUGAUCCAACAAAUAUUUUGUAUGUACAUCCAUAUGAAACUGCAGGAACCACACUACUUCCUAGUGUUUUUGAUGGAACUAGAUACAGGUCAUGGCGUGGUUCAGUACUUAAGGCUCUUUCAGUCAAAAACAAAACUGGAUUCAUUAAUGGGAAAUGCGCAAGGCCAGCUGAAGAUUCACCUGCUUUUGGAAAUUGGGAGGUGUGUGAUGAUAUGGUAACCGCUUGGAUUUUGAAUUCAUUCUCAAGAGAUAUAGCAGACAGUCUCCAAUAUGUAAACAAUGCUAAGGAACUUUGGCAAGAGCUAGAAGACAUAUAUGAUCAGACGUAUGGUGCAAAAUUGUAUCAAUUACAAAAGGAGAUCAAUGAUCUUUCACAAGGAAACCUUGACAUCACUAGCUACUACACCAGGAUGAAGAAACUCUGGGAGGAACUGAAUACUUUGUGCAUUCACACAACUUUCACUUGUCAAUGCAUUUGUGGUGCCAAGACUGGAAUGCUCAAAGCUGAGCAAGAUAGGAGAUUGAUCCAAUUCCUCAUGGGAUUAAAUGAAGUUUAUACAACUGUGAGGGGGAGUAUCUUGAUGAUGAACCCACUACCAAACAUUGCACAAGCCUUUUCUAUCUGAGUUCAAGAUGAAAAACAAAGAGAGGUCAAGCCUAGGAAUCAACUAGCUUUUGAAUCAACAUCUAUGAAUGUUCAUGGUCAUGGAGCAGCAAAUGCAAGCUUUAGGACAAACUACCAAACCAACAGACAAAACCAAUAUAGCAAACCAAAUCACAGUAAGUCUACAAGGCAAUAUAGAGCAAGUGGAUCAGGCACUUACAGAGAAGGACACAACUACAAUAGGACUCAACUGUUUUGUGACCACUGCAAGAAGCCUGGUCAUACUAAGGAUAAGUGUUACAGGUUGCAUGGAUUUCCUCAGGAUUUUAAAUUCACCGAAGGGAAAAAUAUAGGUUCUGUUGCAAUAUCCAUGGAGGAUACAAUGAGGUCACUGAAAGGAAGAAUGAUGAGUUUAAUCAGAAGGCGCAUGAUAACUAUCAGAAAAAUAAUCAAGUUGUACAGAGUCUGACCAAGGAACAAUACAAUCAACUGCUCACGUUCCUCAUCAACAACUUUCCACCAGGAAAUGCAAAACAUACUCCAAACAACAUCACUAGUGGAGCAGUGAACUUUGCAGGCCCCUUCUCUGAAGAGGCCUCUGGAGAUUGGUAGGGCCAGAAAUGGCCUAUACUACGUUUGCUCAAAGUGUCACAAUCGCAGUUCAUCGGCAGGGUGUAACAUCUCAAAUUCUGUACCUAGUCUAUCUCAGUCAUUUACUUGUCCUUUCAUAUGUGUUGAUCAAACUCCAUCAUCAUCAUCAC